GGUUUGAUAGUAGAUGAUAAUGACGAUAUUGUAAAACCGUAAAUUUAUUUGGUUUGAUUCACAAUAAAAAUAGUAAACUAAAUUUUACUCGUUUAAUAUCUUCUAAUUAUAAUAGUUAAUAAUUAAGAUUACCGAUUCGCGGUGUCCGACGGUUCAAUCAUAUCGUUUUAAUUUUCCAUUACUGUUUUCAUUCAAUAUUUAAUUAUAAUAAAUAAUUUAAAAUGUCAGUCAUUACAUCAUCAAAUUCUAAUAGUUCUGAUGAAGAAUAUGUUUUAAAAGUGUUAAUAAAUCUACCCAGUCCUAGAAUAUAUUGUGAUCAUAAUAUUGUUUUAAUGCGUCUGAACAUUAUAAUGAUGAUUAUGAUUUUAAAAUCGGAUUUAGGUUGAAUAAUAACAAAUUCAUAAAUUUAUUUGAUGGUACAGCUUAAAACAAUCAAUUAAUAAAUGUUUGAAAUUGCACUAGAAAUUCAACUGUUAUUUGCAUUAUAAUAUUAUGUAAUUGGAGUAUAUCCAAUUAAUAUUCUGGUAAAUUCUUAUUUAGAGAUGAUCAUCUUCAGAUAACAAGUCUACUAUAUGUCUAAUAGUAGUAUAUUCAAUAACACUUUAUUGUGUGCACAGUUAAAAAAUAAUGAUAAUGAAGGUUGUUUUCUUUUUUCAAAUAAAGGUUAUCAUUAAAAGAGUAAUUUAAUGAUACCAUUAUUAAAUCUUACUAUAAUUUCUGAAAUAAAAAACAGAAAUUCCAAAUUGAAACUAAGAAUGUUAUUCAGUCAUUGAACAGAUGUUUGUUGUUUUGAAAUUAUGUUUUUCUGUUUUGUCUAAAAUGGCUGAAUUUUUGGAUGUAACUAUUUCAAUAAAACGUUUAAAUAAGAGACAGCAAAAUCGAGCUAAUCCAUCAACAAAUGGUAAAGAACUUGAACCGGAAGCCUAUUUUCGAAUAACUAUAUGCAUUCCAUUCAUCGAUGCUUUCAUACAGCAAUUGGAAGACAAAUUUUUAGAACAUAGAAAUGUUUUUAAUGGUUUUCAGUGUUUAUUCUCAUAUAAGUCAGAUAAUCCACCAGCUGAAUUUGAUGACCUGGUAAAAUUUUAUUUACCUGAAAUUGAUAUUGAUACUGUCAGAGCUGAGUUACAAAUGUGGAAUGUUAAACUCAAAAGAUUAAAUAUACAACCAAAGACAGGACUGAAAGCAUUAGAAGAAUGCAGUGAACUUAUUUAUCCUAAUUUGUCAAAAUUAUUUUAAAUAUUUUGUACAUUACCCAUGUGUACUGCUGAACCUGAGAGAAUGUUUUCAUGUUUAAAAAGGUUAAAGACUUAUUUAAGGAACACUAUGAAAGAGGAGCGACUAAACGGCCUUACUUUAAUGGCAGUAUAUAGGAAUAUUCCUAUCAGUACUGAAGAAGUAAUUGACGAAUUAGCCAAAAAAAAAAGAAAACUAAAUUUUUUACUAUAGUUUUUAAUUGUUUGUAGUUUUGAAAUAAAAUGUAUUAAAUACA